UCCUCACCUUGUUCUAAGAGCAAUCCAGGCAGCAUCAAUGUCAGCAUAUAAAUUCUUCUCUGUUGGCUUUCCAGAACUUGAUCCGUACCCAGAGUAGUCAUAAGAGAAUAUGUUGCAGUUAAUCCGAGAGCCCAGACCAAUGUAAAAGCUGCUCAUCUGACCCAGGUCAACAGCAUUGCCAUGAGAAAACAGCAGUGUAUACUUGGCAUUUGGGGAGCAGCGCACAAACAUGCAGGCAAUGCGAUUUCCUCUACUUGUUCUAGUCAUGAAACACUCAAUGGCAUCUUUUUCCCGAGAAGAGUAUUGCCAGUCUGCUCUUUCUGAGAGGUGUAGCGUCCAGCGGCUCCCACUCUCAUCACACAUAAGGGUGUAAGUUGGAUCGGGAGGCAAAAAGGCAAGCUUUGAAGCAAUCUUCCCAGGGCAAGGGGGGCAGCAGAAAAGACAGCAUAAUUCACUGAAUGAAAGAUUAUUCAUUUUUAGGUCUGUAUAGGAGACA